rnacentral:tRNA from 1 species
GGUUGUGGCUCAGUGGUAGAGCGCUUGCCUCGCAUGUGUGAAGUCCUGGGUUCAUUCCCUAGCACCA